GACGAACGCUGGCGGCGUGCUUAACACAUGCAAGUCGAACGGAAAGGCCCUGCUUUUGUGGGGUGCUCGAGUGGCGAACGGGUGAGUAACACGUGAGUAACCUGCCCUUGACUUUGGGAUAACUUCAGGAAACUGGGGCUAAUACCGGAUAGGAGCUCCUGCUGCAUGGUGGGGGUUGGAAAGUUUCGGCGGUUGGGGAUGGACUCGCGGCUUAUCAGCUUGUUGGUGGGGUAGUGGCUUACCAAGGCUUUGACGGGUAGCCGGCCUGAGAGGGUGACCGGCCACAUUGGGACUGGGAUACGGCCCGGACUCCUACGGGAGGCAGCAGUGGGGAAUAUUGCACAAUGGGCGGAAGUCUGAUGCAGCAACGCCGCGUGCGGGAUGACGGCCUUCGGGUUGUAAACCGCUUUCGCCUGUGACGAAGCGUGAGUGACGGUAAUGGGUAAAGAAGCACCGGCUAACUACGUG
rnacentral:rRNA from 1 species